UUAAUUGAAGAGUUUGAUCAUGGCUCAGAUUGAACGCUGGCGGCAGGCUUAACACAUGCAAGUCGAGCGGUAGCACAGGGGAGCUUGCUCCCCGGGUGACGAGCGGCGGACGGGUGAGUAAUGUCUGGGAAACUGCCUGAUGGAGGGGGAUAACUACUGGAAACGGUAGCUAAUACCGCAUAACGUCGCAAGACCAAAGAGGGGGACCUUCGGGCCUC
rnacentral:rRNA from 1 species